CGCCUGGCAGACAGAAUGUCGCUGCUGGAAGCAUUCGCCCUCUCCUCCUUCUGGGCUCUUGGACUUGGAUUAUCAAAAGUGGAGCAGCUCCAGGUAUCCAUUUCCACGGAAAUAAAGAAAAGUAUUGACAUACCUUGCAAGAUAUCGAGCACAAACUUUGAAACAGAUGUCAUUCAUUGGUACCGGCAGAAACCGAAUCGGGCUCUGGAGCACCUGAUCUAUACUGCCUUAACGAAAUCCUCAGCUGGCGGCAGCAUGGGUAAGAGGAGCAACAAAUUGGAGGCAAGAAAGAAUCCUAAAACGUCCACUUCAAUCCUUACCAUCAAGUCCAUAGAGAAAGAAGACAUGGCUGUUUACUACUGUGCUGCCUGGGAAUACACGGUAUCAGAACUGUUGAGACAACACGCACAAGUUCCCUUCCCCGGGGCUGCGCCCACCACAUCCUUCCCGACGGGGGCAACCACAGCCGGUCCCCAGCUGGGCUCCCAGACUCAGGCUCGCCUUCUCUGA